rnacentral:rRNA from 1 species
GAUGAACGCUAGCGGCAGGCUUAACACAUGCAAGUCGAGGGGUAUAGGCUUUCGGGCCUAGAGACCGGCGCACGGGUGCGUAACGCGUAUGCAAUCUGCCUUACACUAAGGGAUAGCCCAGAGAAAUUUGGAUUAAUACCUUAUAGUAUAUUGAUGUGGCAUCACAAUGAUAUUAAAGAUUUAUCGGUGUAAGAUGAGCAUGCGUCCCAUUAGCUUGUUGGUGUGGUAACGGCAUACCAAGGCAAUGAUGGGUAGGGGUCCUGAGAGGGAGAUCCCCCACACUGUUACUGAGACACGGACCAGACUCCUACGGGAGGCAGCAGUGAGGAAUAUUGGACAAUGGGCGCAAGCCUGAUCCAGCCAUGCCGCGUGCAGGAUGACGGUCCUAUGGAUUGUAAACUGCUUUUGUACGGGAAGAAACACUCCUACGUGUAGGAGCUUGACGGUACCGUAAGAAUAAGGAUCGGCUAACUCCGUGCCAGCCGCCGCUGUAA